rnacentral:rRNA from 1 species
GAUGAACGCUAGCGGCAGGCCUAAUACAUGCAAGUCGAACGGGAUCCAGAUCAAAGCUUGCUUUGGUCUGGUGAGAGUGGCGCACGGGUGCGUAACGCGUGAGCAACCUACCCUUGUCAGGGGGAUAGCCCGGCGAAAGUCGGAUUAAUACCGCAUGACAUCAUUGAGAGGCAUCUUUCGAUGAUCAAAGAUUUAUCGGACAAGGAUGGGCUCGCGUGACAUUAGCUAGUUGGUAAGGUAACGGCUUACCAAGGCUGCGAUGUCUAGGGGCUCUGAGAGGAGAAUCUCCCACACUGGUACUGAGACACGGACCAGACUCCUACGGGAGGCAGCAGUAAGGAAUAUUGGUCAAUGGACGGAAGUCUGAACCAGCCAUGCCGCGUGCAGGAAGACGGCCCUAUGGGUUGUAAACUGCUUUUAUACGGGAACAAACGUCGGUACGUGUACCGGUCUGAGUGUACCGUAAGAAUAAGGAUCGGCUAACUCCGUG